rnacentral:rRNA from 1 species
GACGAACGCUGGCGGCGUGCCUAAUACAUGCAAGUCGAACGCUGAAGAGAGGAGCUUGCUCUUCUUGGGUGAGUUGCGAACGGGUGAGUAACGCGUAGGUAACCUGCCUUGUAGCGGGGGAUAACUAUUGGAAACGAUAGCUCAUACCGCAUAACAAUGGAUGACACAUGUCAUUUAUUUGAAAGGGGCAAUUGCUCCACUAAAAGAUGGACCUGCGUUGUAUUAGCUAGUAGGUGAGGUAAUGGCUCACCUAGGCGAAGAUACAUAGCCGACCUGAGCGGGUGAUCGGGCACACUGGGAAUGAGACACGGCCCCGACUCCUACGGGAGGCAGCAGUAGGGAAACUUCGGCAAUGGGGGCAACCCUGACUGAAGAACGCCGCGUUGGUGAAGGAGGGUGUCGGAUCGGAAAGCUCUGUUGUAAGUCAAGGACGGGGGGGUGAGUAGAAAGUCCACACUGUGACGGUAGCGUAACAGAAAGGGACGGCUAACUACGUG